rnacentral:rRNA from 1 species
AUUCCAGCUCCAAUAGCGUAUAUUAAAGUUGUUGCGGUUAAAAAGCUCGUAGUUGGAUUUCUGCCGAGGACGACCGGUCCGCCCACUGGGUGUGCAUCUGGCUCGGCCUGGGCAUCUUCUUGGAGAACGUAUCUGCACUUCACUGUGUGGUGCGGUAUCCAGGACUUUUACUUUGAGGAAAUUAGAGUGUUUCAAGCAGGCACACGCCUUGAAUACGUUAGCAUGGAAUAAUAAGAUAGGACCUUGGUACUAUUUUGUUGGUUUGUGCACCAUGGUAAUGAUUAAUAGGGACAGUUGGGGGUAUUCGUAUUCCAUUGUCAGAGGUGAAAUUCUUGGAUUUAUGGAAGACGAACUACUGCGAAAGCAUUUACCAAGGAUGUUUUCAUCG